rnacentral:rRNA from 1 species
AUUGAACGCUGGCGGCAUGCCUUACACAUGCAAGUCGAACGGUAACGGGCCUUCGGGUGCCGACGAGUGGCGAACGGGUGAGUAAUACAUCGGAACGUGCCCGAUCUUGGGGUAUAACGAGGCGAAAGCUUUGCUAAUACCGCAUACGAUCUACGGAUGAAAGCCGGGGACCGCAAGGCCUUGCGCGGACGGAGCGGCCGAUGGCAGAUUAGGUAGUUGGUGGGAUAAAAGCUUACCAAGCCGACGAUCUGUAGCUGGUCUGAGAGGAUGAUCAGCCACACUGGGACUUAGACACGGCCCAGACUCCUACGGGAGGCAGCAGUGGGGAAUUUUGGACAAUGGGCGCAAGCCUGAUCCAGCCAUGCCGCGUGCAGGAUGAAGGCCUUCGGUUUGUAAACUGCUUUUGUACGGAACGAAAAGCCUUCUUUUAAUACAGGAGGGUCAUGACGGUACCGUAAGAAUAAGCACCGGCUAACUACGUG